rnacentral:lncRNA from 10 species
CAGGAAUCAGGAGAGGAACCCGGUCCUCUCCACACAGCCCAGCAGAGAGCCUACGACUAGAUUUGCAUCUUUACGUCCUGCGCGGAGGCUGCUACACACAUGCAGAAGUCAUGCUGGUGGCCUGGACAUUGAAGGGAGAGAAGUGGAUUUGGGAGACAUUUAGGAGGAACAGUAAGAGGACCUUGUGCAUGAAUAAUUUGUUUCCACACUACAGACAGAAGAAUCCCAGUCUUCUUAGAGAACCCAGUGACUUUUUGCACCUUAAAUCUGUGAAAUCCUCAUGUUUUCUUCUGCCGUAUCCAUAGUUCAAACAAAGAUGAGGCAAAGCUAGAUGCAUUCCUGAAGGAACCCAAGAAAUUCCUCUCUUUAUUUCUCUGGAAUGAAAUGAAUUCUCUAGACGACC